rnacentral:lncRNA from 1 species
AAAAUAUAUAUAAGAAAGAGAGUAAUUUCGAUAAAAUACAACUCUUUCUCACUGUUACAAGUAUUAUAUCCCUGUCAAAGCCAUGGUGGUAGUCAUUGUUCUUAUAUAUAAAGUUCUUUAUAUUAAUAAUACAAAAUAAUAAUUACAUCAAUCUGCUAUACUAAUUGAUUCUCUACUCCCCAUCAAUCCGCUAUACUAAUUGAUUCUCUACUCCCCAUCAAUCCGCUAUACUAAUUGAUUCUCUACUCCCCAUCAAUCCGCUAUACUAAUUGAUUCUCUACUCCCCAUCAAUCCGCUAUACUAAUUGAUUCUCUACUCCCCAGGUAUUUUCCGCUUCCACGAUUGACAUCUGCAGCAUGAGAGAGAGAGAGAGAGAGAGGUGUUCGAUGGAGAGAGCGUCGAGGCAGUGGCAGCAGGCAGGACACGAGAGGGCGGCUGCAAGGGGUGAGGAGGGAACGAAGAAAGUGAGUGAUCCAAGUGUGCCCGACCACGCCGACGCAGACCGACGCUCGGUCGGCGACUCCCACUCCUCUUUCCACUCUCUUCUCCCCUCCUUACAUUCCUUCUCUCUCCCUCUCAUCUUCUUUGUCUCCUGCAUGGACCGAUCCAUGGCGCUGCAUCGAAUCGAGCAUCGUCGUCGUCGCCCAUUGCCUGCUGGUCACCGCCGCCGCCGAAAAAGCUCGCCUCCGCGCCCCAUGCCUCGGAUGCUCCUCAUGCAUCUGCCCCCUUGCUCUCCUCGCUGUGCUCACGCCCCGCAAACCACGUGCUUGUGCCGACGGGGAGAGUAGAGGAGUAGACGACCACGACCUCCUCCUCCUCACGCAUGUGCCCCUCCCUCCGAUCCAUGGCGCUGCAUCGAAUCGAGCGUCCCCGUCAUCGCCCAUGGCUUGCAGGUCACCGCCGCCGCCGAAGAAGCUCGCCUACGCGUCCGCAUGCCUCGGAUCCGGCAGGCGCGCUGCCCCCUGGUCCUCCUCCUCAUGUAUCUGCUCUCUUCAUCUCCUCGCUCUCCUCACGCCCCGCGAUAGUGUCCUGAUCACUCGAACCCAUCUGGGUGGAGAACACCUAAUUUAGGUGGUCAGAUCCUUAUAUAACAGUAAGUUCACCAUGUCAGCCUAGUAAAAUCCAAUCUAAACACCAUGAAAUUUACAGAAUAAAAUACAAACAAGCAUGCUCAGUUAAAUCCUGCCUAUAGAUUAUAGAACUGUGAAAUGCCUAAACGAUGAUAUGCUAACACCUUCUACAAGCAUUCUGUCACUUAGCUGGUGUCAAAAUAACAACACAAUCAGCCAUGUUUAUCAAUAUAGAAGUUAUGUGGUUGUGUCGAUAUAAAAGACGCUGCACAAUAGUACCUUGGGUGGCAUCAGGAAGAUAGCCUUUCUGGAGGUGGCUCAGGCUUGUCCUGCAAACAACCCAUUAUAUAUAUCGGCAACAAACCAUGCGCGUGUGCGCGCACGCACACACACAUACAAGGAAAGAGAACCAUUGUUCUUCAGUUAUUUCCAUGUAAACAGAUUUUGAACGACAAUGUGAGAACAUGAGGACAUAAAGAUCACAAACAACAGUACAGGAAACAUAAACAUUCAUGUAGCGACCCUGUUAAAUAUUGUUCCCACUCAGCAGCUAUCCCAUAGAUAGAAAGGCGAACAACAAGGAACACAUGUAUGAGAUAAAUGGUGACCUACAGUCUUAUGUAGGCGCAUCAAUAAACUACACAACAUUCUUGGAGAAAAUAGAGAAUGCAAGAAAAUACAUACAAAUGCAUUGAGUCAAUAAUCAAAUAACAUACUUCUUAUUGUCUAUUUUGCUUGUAAUAACAAAGCCAAAACCAUUUGCUAUUUCAAACGUAAACUCACGCAUCUCUUUUACAAAUCAGACAAGAGCACCUACCAUCAAGAGCAGCCUGAAACAACGUCAUGAAGCAAGAAACAACAGUGGCACUAAAAACAUACUUUACUUUUGUAAGUGCGAACUUCUACUUCCAUCCAGCGACCAAAUUAUAGGACUGCCUUCUGCAAGGAUUUGAAGAAAAGAGUUACCCCAAAUGCAGACUUCUACAUAUGAGAAACUGCAACAACCUGCUUGUCCUCUUGUACAAAUUCCUCAUAUGAACAAUCAUAUUUCCAUGUGUAAAAUAUAAAUACAAAAUACUGGUUAUUCUACCCAUACAAGACAAGCUGAAGAAUAAUAAUCUAACCUUUCAUGGAUCACCAUAAUAAAAGCUAUUGUAGAAAAUAAUUUGGGCAAUCAAUUUCUGUGAGACCAAAAAAUGCAAGAAAAGCCGAUUAGUUGGGUCAGAAUAUUGCACCACUCGAUCAUCUCGGCAUUAUAGUUGCAGCCACCCAUAAAAACCAUGAAUGCUUCACACUAAAUAGGCAUAUACAUCGGAAUUUAGAGGGGAAUCACCGGAUGUAGUGUGCUAUGAGGCUGUUGAACUUGGUUGUCAUGUUGUCACUGCGCUGGAAACCUCGCUGAAAAGAUUCAAGAAGAAGCACCUAGUUGAGAGAGGGAGGCAAGGUAGAUGAAGAGAUAGAUCGGGAUGGAGUACAGGAGGGGAAAGAGAAACGGGGGAGGAUGAGCAUACCUGCAGCGUUCAUGGACUCUGCGAAUAUAAACGGUGGCCGUUGUUGUUGUCCUCGCGAGAACCUGAUGGAUACCCAAACCCUAGGUGCAAAAUAAAAAUUAAUUUAGGGAGGAAGAAAUCAAAAGGAGGCUCUUACACAGGAGGAAGUCCAAGGAUGCACUGAUCCAACUCCCUUGCUGCGUCCACCAUUUUCGUGUAAAUAGGUGAAAAGUGGAAAAAGGAGAUGGGAUAGGGGCUCACCUAUUCAACAAUCUCAAUAAGGCCACGCUGCCGGCGGAGAGGAUGCAUCGACCCCUUCCCCUCCUCACCCUCACGCCCCGCGACCCGCGCGCUUGCGCCGACGGGAGAGGGGAGGAGCCCACGGCCACGGCCUCCUCCUCCUCACGCAUCUGCCACUACCUCUCCUCACGCCCCGCGACCCCGCGCCGACGGGAGAGGAGAGGAGCCGACGGCCACGACCUCCUCCUCCUCACGCAUCUGCCACUCCCUCUCCUCGCUCUUGCGGCUGCCCGGUCGCUUCUCAUUUCCUUCUUAUCUCGCAGGAUUUUUUUACCUCUCGCGCGACGCGCUUGGCGGCGGCGGGCAGCGAGGUCGUGCGGGUCCUGCGGAGCGUGGCGGCGGACGAGGGAUGGAGGGAGGAGGGAGGGGGCUGGUGUGCUGUG